rnacentral:rRNA from 1 species
UACGAACCGUACAAACGUUAUUCGGAAUCACUGGGCUUAAAGGGUGCGUAGGCGGCCAGGUAAGUCAGGAGUGAAAGUUUGCGGCUCAACCGUAAAAUUGCUUUUGAUACUGCCAGGCUAGAAUUAGGAUGAGGUCAGCGGAAUGUGGCAUGUAGCGGUGAAAUGCAUAGAUAUGCCAUAGAACACCAAUUGCGAAGGCAGCUGGCUAGACCUGGAUUGACGCUGAGGCACGAAAGCGUGGGGAGCGAACAGG